AUGACAUAGCUACAACCAAGAGCAGUCCGAAAGCAGGGGCUGGACAAUGAAGGAGGAUGCAUCCUCCACCCUCAGCUCCUGGCUGGAACCCACUCCUGGGACAGAGUGAAGAGGGGCUCCUGGCACACACAAGGCAGUGGCACUGGAGGGACAGAGGAGGGAGGAGGACAAAGGUCAAGAAAGUAGGAAAGUGAGAAAAAAUGGAGGGACCUUGAUUAAGCGUAAGGCAGAGGUGCAAAUGAAUGAUUUCCUGAUGUGUCCUUAUUCCAUAUUCAAUGGAGUCCACUUGGGUUAAGAAGGCACAAGGUUUUACAGGAAGCUUCAGACUAACCCACCUCCUUCUCACAGGGUCAGUAAUUUUUAAUGCCAAUUUUGAGCUCCACUUUGACUGCAAUGACAUGAAGCAAGGAGUCCAUAUUAUAUUCACUCUUCCCAUCUCUCAACUUCCGAGAUAAGCAACAGAAAGAAAGAUGGAAAAGGUGGAAGACACAGCCCACAAGACCUGGGACAGGCUGUCCUCGUGAGGACUGCUGUCUCCAGCAGGAUGAAGACAGCAGGCUGGCAGCAAAACAUGCCAUGAAUUUGAUGCUUCUAAUUUACAACCCAGUAGUUUCAACAAAAAAUAGAGUACAGUUGGCAAGGGGAAGUUACUCCACCUUUCAUACCUGGAAUGUUCCAACUUGCCUAACAAUUAGUUGGGUGGGCUGGGAAGCUCAUCUCUGAUUUGGCUUUAUGAGAACUCUGCUUCUAUGACCAAAUGCAUACCGCUUGUUUGCUGAGUAGAAAAUACCAAGGCAGCAGCAGCACGAGCUAGCAAGGGGCUUGCCUGAGUGGGUUACUGGCGGUAAGCAGUAUACACAGAAGGCUUACAAAGAACAGCCUCUGUCUGGAAAGACAAACAUACCCAAGUAUCACAGUCUUAACUUUCUGCUCAUCUGUAUGGCCCCUCUAGAGAGAAAACAACACAAAGAAAAUAUCUAGAUGGGCUAAACCAGUGUCAUAGGAGCACAGCUAGAAAUGGAAAUCUUUGUGUGGCCAUGUACAAAUCACUUACAUUCUAUAGGCUUUGGGAAGCUGCUGACUGGCUAUAUAACUAUUUGUCUCGAAGCUUCAGUAUCCUUAUCAAGAAAAGAAAUAUGCUACGAGUAUCUACCUCGUAGUGUAGAAAGAAGGGUGAGAUGAUCUAUCUCAAGGUCUAGCACAUUGCCUAGCAUAUGGUAAGUCUCAGUAAGUUAGGAUGACUACAUGCUUACAAAACAAAUGGGAUGAAUGAACCCUAUGGUACCUUGUAGGCCUAACAUUGUUUUUAUUCUAAACUUUGGUGAAGUGAAAGAGAGGGUGCUCAGAGCAUGCUGGCUAAGAAACUGGGGCUCAGAACUGAGAACACAAUGGCAGAUUUGCCAUGGCAUCUAUAUAACAGGAUGCAUGUUUUGUAAUCUUGAACUGAUGCUGAUGGUUGCCAGAAAAGUCAACUGGUAGGUUAAAAAACAAUCACAUUGCUUGGACAGCACUGCACAAUUAGAACAUAGUCAUUUUCAAGGGGUUGCAGUCACACACUGAGAUGCUUGAGAGCUGUAAAUUCCUAGAGCUAGAAAAAGCCCUUGGUGGUUAUAGGGUCUCCCAGCAAAUCACUCUCUCUGAUGAAUAGUCAUCGAAUAAGUCAAGAACCACCUACACCUGGAUUAUGCUGCCAUUAAAUGAUGUUCCUUGAAGAUCAGGCUACAGUAGACUCUUUCUACAAAAUAGCCACAGAUUACACCCUUGCUAAAACCUGAAUGGGCUUUUUCUAUACAUCUUGUGACUUUGCAUCUCCUCUUCAAUUCCCAGCAUACAAUAGGACCUCCACACCAUGGCAAGCCCAAGAAGACAAACUGCAAAACAGAAGCUCUCCCAUUGCUUAUGGGCCAAAGAAUGGAAGUCAUUCCAGUAGUAACUGUUGCCUCUUGGUAAACCCAAACCAAC